rnacentral:rRNA from 1 species
GACGAACGCUGGCGGCGUGCUUAACACAUGCAAGUCGAACGGAAAGGCCCUGCUUUUGUGGGGUGCUCGAGUGGCGAACGGGUGAGUAACACGUGAGUAACCUGCCCUUGACUUUGGGAUAACUUCAGGAAACUGGGGCUAAUACCGGAUAGGAGCUCCUGCUGCAUGGUGGGGGUUGGAAAGUUUCGGCGGUUGGGGAUGGACUCGCGGCUUAUCAGCUUGUUGGUGGGGUAGUGGCUUACCAAGGCUUUGACGGGUAGCCGGCCUGAGAGGGUGACCGGCCACAUUGGGACUGAGAUACGGCCCAGACUCCUACGGGAGGCAGCAGUGGGGAAUAUUGCAAAAGGGGCGGAAGCCUGAUGCAGCAACGCCGCGUGCGGGAUGACGGCCUUCGGGUUGUAACCCGCUUUCGCCUGUGACGAAGCGUGAGUGACGGUAAUGGGUAAAGAAGCACCGGCUAACUACGUG